AUGAACCAGCUACUCUUGCUCUGUUGGAAAUUUUCUCUCUCCCUGCGCUGGGAGCUGAGUGCUAUUCUUGUCUUCUUUCCACUGAUGAGAAAACCCAGGCUCAGAAAUGAUAAUUUUACUUUCAAAAAUUCACAAAUCUCUUGUGAAUCAAAUGAUGAGUUUUGGUUCCAAAAACAUGAAGACUAUAUUUGCCUAGAGCAUUUCUAUCUGGGCACUCAAGGUUGUAGCAUCCAGGAUCUGCUGGGGAGUCAAGGUCAGGAUCAGCAGCAACACCACCAAGACAGCCUUUUCUUCCCUGCUGGGUUUGGGGUGAAGGUGCAGACUAAACCUUGGGGUAUAGGGGUGUGUGUAGGGAGGGUGGAGGUUGAGGCAAUUCAUGUUGAGACAGUUGCAAAACAAGUUCCUCUGUGGGCAUCUGAGGUGUGGGCACCAUUUGAAGACUCAGAAAACACAUGGAUUGGGUGGGGUCUCACGACUUGAGAUCCUCAGCACAUGACUCAUGCUUCUCUCCAUAAAAGAUGAAUCAAGUUGUCUUUGGCAUUAAGAAAAAUAUACAAAACCACAUACCAAGGGGAAGCAGAAAUCCAGGGAAGCUGAACAAAUUAUUCCAGGGAGUGUAGCUAGUGUCAGAGCCAUGUCUCAGGAUUCCCAGUACCUGGCCACACGGCACCACACUCUUGAGUUUUUACUGCCCUGUGCUCCCAUAGGUCACUUUGCUUCAGGAGUUGAAGAUAUUUACCAAGAGAUGACAGGCCUAUUUCAUUGGCUGGGCAGUACGUACCAUAAAGUAAUAUUUCUUUUGUCAACAGCCUGUAAAGCUAGGCAGAGAAGUCCAGGCUAUGAAUAACAUAAAGACAAAGGAUCAGAGAAAUGUCUAAAACUCGCUGAUAUCUUGGUGUCUGAAUUCACAUGUGUAUCUAUCAUUGGCUCUAGGUUUCCUUUAGGUAGUUUUGCCUUAUGAUUCUUCUUACUGAAAGAAAAGUGCUUUCUAUAUUGUGCAGUGGCAUUUCACAUCUAUUUGAACUAUGUUACUUUGAAACAGUGUGACCUAAAAAUAUAAAUGGGGGGAGGGAGGGAGGGAAUUUGGCCCAGUGGUUAAAGUUACUAGUCAGGAUGCCCACAUCCAGUAUGGGAGAGCCUGGACUGAGUCCUGACUGCUCUGCUUUUGAUCCAGCUUCUUCCUAAUGCACACGCCAAGAGGCAGCAGGUGAUAUCUCAAGUACUUGGGUCCCUACCACUCACAUGGGAGAUCCAGAUUGAAUUCCAGGCUCUUGGCUGCAGCCUGGCCUAGCCUUGGGUCACUGUGGGCUUUUGAGGAGUGAACCAGCAGGUGGGAGAUCUGUCCCUCUCUCUCUCUCUGUUUCUCUCCCUCUCUCUCUCUCUCUCUCUCUCUCCCUCUCCCUUUCCUAUCUUUCUCCCUUUCAACCAAAGGGGAAACUUGUUGAAAUGAAAUGGACACUAUGAGAAACAGUGACUUGAUCAGCUCUUGUCCUGACGGUUGAUGUACAAUGUAAUACUUUAUCCAUUUUAGUAUUUUUUUUUGUUCUAGUACCAUGGGUUGAACUCUGUAAUUAACACACAAUUAUUCUUAGGUGUUUAAUUUUAACUGAAAAGUGAUCCCUGUUGGGAAUUUGGAAAACAUUAUGCUGAGUGAAAUAAGCCAAUCCCAAAGGGACAAAUACCACUUGUUUUCCUUGAUAGGUGACAACUAACUGAGCACCAAAAAGGAAAACUAUUAAAGUGAAAUGAACACUAUGAGAAACGGUGACUUGAUCAGCCCUCACCCUGACUGUUGAUGAUCAGCUUAAUAUGUUAUCCCUCUUAGUAUGUUUUUUGUUUGUUCUACUGAUGCCAUAAACAAGAGUGUCAAUUUGUUAAGUCAACAACAGGAGUCACUGUGCACUUACUCCUCAUGUAGGAUCUUUGUCCUUAGUGUGCUGUACAUUGAGAUUUAAUGCUAUAACUAGUACUCAAACAGUAUUUUUCACUUUAUGUUUCUGUGUGGGAGCAAACUGUUGAAAUCUUUACUUAAUGUAUGCUAAACUGAUCUUCUGUAUAUAAAGAGAAUUGAAAAUGAAUCUUGAUGUGAAUGGAAGGGGAGAGGGAGUGGGAAAGGGGAGGGUUGUGGGUGGGAGGGACAUUAUGGGGGGGAAGCCAUUGUAAUCCAUAAGCUGUACUUUGGAAAUUUAUAUUCAUUAAAUAAAAGUUUAAAAAAAAAAGAAAGAAGGAAGAAA
rnacentral:lncRNA from 1 species